GGAGGAGGGAGGGACCGUGGCUCAGUGGUAGGGCGUCUUCUUGGCAUGCAGAGGGUCCCAGGUUCAAACCCCAGCUUCUCCA
rnacentral:tRNA from 1 species